rnacentral:rRNA from 1 species
CUUAACACAUGCAAGUCGAGGGGCAGCAUGGUCUUAGCUUGCUAAGGCCGAUGGCGACCGGCGCACGGGUGAGUAACACGUAUCCAACCUGCCGUCUACUCUUGGACAGCCUUCUGAAAGGAAGAUUAAUACAAGAUGGCAUCAUGAGUCCGCAUGUUCACAUGAUUAAAGGUAUUCCGGUAGACGAUGGGGAUGCGUUCCAUUAGAUAGUAGGCGGGGUAACGGCCCACCUAGUCUUCGAUGGAUAGGGGUUCUGAGAGGAAGGUCCCCCACAUUGGAACUGAGACACGGUCCAAACUCCUACGGGAGGCAGCAGUGAGGAAUAUUGGUCAAUGGGCGAGAGCCUGAACCAGCCAAGUAGCGUGAAGGAUGACUGCCCUAUGGGUUGUAAACUUCUUUUAUAAAGGAAUAAAGUCGGGUAUGGAUACCCGUUUGCAUGUACUUUAUGAAUAAGGAUCGGCUGACUCCGUGCCAGCAGCCGCGGUAAUACGGAGGAUCCGAGCGUUAUCCGGAUUUAUUGGGUUUAAAGGGAGCGUAGAUGGAUGUUUAAGUCAGUUGUGAAAGUUUGCGGCUCAACCGUAAAAUUGCAGUUGAUACUGGAUAUCUUGAGUGCAGUUGAGGCAGGCGGAAUUCGUGGUGUAGCGGUGAAAUGCUUAGAUAUCACGAAGAACUCCGAUUGCGAAGGCAGCCUGCUAAGCUGCAACUGACAUUGAGGCU